rnacentral:rRNA from 1 species
ACGGGGUGCAGCAGGCGCGAAACCUCUACAAUGCACGAAAGUGUGAUAGGGGAACUCCAAGUGACCAUGAAUGUGGUCUUUUAUGAAGUGUAAACAGCUUCAGGAAUAAGAGCUGGGAAAGACCCGUGCCAGCCGCCGCGGUAAUACGGGCAGCUCGAGCGGUGUUCACGAAUAUUGGGCCUAAAGCGUGCGUAGCCGGUUAAAUAAGUCCUUGGUGAAAUCCACUGGCUAAACCAUUGGAAUUGCCAAGGAAACUAUUUGACUUGGAGCCGGGAGAGGUAGGAGGUAUUUUGAGGGUAGGGGUUAAAUCCUGUGAUCCUCGGAGGACCAUCGGUGGCGAAGGCGUCCUACUGGAACGGACUCGACGGUGAGGCACGAAAGCUAGGGGAGCAACCCGGAUUAGAGACCCGGUUAGUCCUAGCCGUAAAUGAUGCUGGUUUGGUGUGACACUCCUUACGAGGGGGUGUUGUGCCGUAGGGUAGCCGUAAACCAGCCGCCUGGG